CCUACGGGUGGCAGCAGUGAGGGAUAUUGGUCAAUGGGGGAAACCCUGAACCAGCAACGCCGCGUGAGGGAAGACGGUUUUCGGGUUGGAAACCUCUGUCCUCUGUGGAGAUAAUUACGGUAGCAGAGGAUGAAGCUCCGGCUAACUACGUGCCAGCACCCGCGAUAAGACGUAGGGAGCAAGCGUUGUCCGGAGUUACUGGGUGUAAAGGGUGCGUAGGCGGCACUGCAAGUCAGAAGUGAAAUUCAUGGGCUUAACCCGUGAACUGCUUUUGAAACUGUAGGGCUUGAGUGAAGUAGAGGCAGGCGGAAUUCGCGGUGUAGCGGUGAAAUGCGUAGAGAUCGGGAGGAACACCAGGGGCGAAGGCGGCCUGCUGGGCUUUAACUGACGCUGAAGCACGAAAGCGUGGGUAGCAAACAGGAUUAGAUACCCGGGUAGUC
rnacentral:rRNA from 1 species